UAGAUGGAUUCAUUAACUGAAGAUCUCCUUUAGCCUACACAACUUGUCUUUCAGCUUGCGUUCUUCCUUGAUCUCUGAGCAAUUUAGGCAGCUGCUUUUUAGUCUAAAAUUCUCAGCUUGACAGACACCAGCCCCUGGCUUCUGCAUUUGACAAACUCCAACCUGGGCAUGCUUAAGAGGCAGCUCAGCUCUUCUAUUUGCUCCAGAAAGAGGCACUGCUUUCCAGCUGGACCUGUCCCUAGAGAGGAAAUGCCUGACACCUGUAAGGGACAGAUUAAAACACACCUGCUCAUACAAAGCCCAAUAAAAGCUUGCUCCACUCCCGCCGUGCACAGCCACCGAUAGCCUCCUCCACCUGACUGCAGGCACACGGAGCAGAGAGGCUGGAGCACAGGCGUGGAUAUUUGCUGACACCCAGCAGUAUUUUCGGCAUGCGGGCAAAGUUCUUCCUGGUCUGCACUGUUACAUUUUGCCCUUUCCCCCAUGCACAUAUUUUCCCUCUGACAUCACUGGGAGGGGGAUCCUGCAGGAGGAUAAGGGAUCCACAUGGUGCAGGGACAGAGGAAAACCUUUCCCUGAAUACUUAUCAAGUGAUGUAUAUCAAAUACAGGACCUGGGAGAGGAAUGCGAGUGCCACGCGGCUGGCACACAAGCGCAGUGCCCCGGAUGGCACCGCGGGUCUCGCUGUACGAGUAGCUCUGACAGCAGCAGCUGCUCCUCAAACAGGAAUAUUGCUGCUGCUUUCAUCCUUCAAGGAAGGACCAGGAUGGAGAAUAAGGAACAGAGGCCGGCCGCCUCAGCUUCCUGCAGCCUUCGUCAGAGAUGACAUGCAAGGGCUAAUUAUCAGUUCAGCCACUCAAAGCCAGCUACAGUUUCCAGUUGCUGAGUGCUAAGGAUGAAGGAUGUACAUACAGGAUAAACCUAACUGAGAACCUUUACAAGAUUUAUCCCCAAUUUAAAGGCAUGUUGUUAGGUAUCUGAGAGGUGUUGGGCCCCGCCAUCAUUUGAGUUACUUCGCCUGUCCCUGAGAUCACGAGUCACACACCAAUUCACCUGAACAAGACUUCCUGAUGCUAUUUCACAGCAGCAUGGUCCCUGUGGCACAGAGACAGUGCCUAUACUUUCAACUCGGGUUGCACUUCCAAAUUGACGCCAAGCGCAGCAAUGCACCUGGUAGAUCUCAGCCCGUUUUAACUCUAGGGACAGACUGAGCUGGACCCCCAUCACCUGAUUUCACACACCCAGAGCAUGUCAGACUGUCUAGGGCUUUCUUUGCAUAGAAUAAGCAGAAAAGGAGGGAACUGGAGGGAACGUUGAAGCUAGCCAAUCUGUCCCACUGGCUUUGCGAGCAUCACCACUACCACCACUUAACUCUAGUGCUUAACCUUCCCUGUCUCUGCAGCUAACCUCCCUGCCCAGCCACAGAUGUUUGCAGGCCACCCCAGACCAAGCAAGCCCCUCUGCAAAUAAUGACCAGGUGGGUGGUUGUGUUCCAGAUGAGGACCACAGAGAUGCAGGGUUAGCCAUGGAUGCUCUGCUAAGCUUGCUCUUAUUCAAGAUUUGGUUGUGCAACCUUGCUCACAUCAACCACAGCAUCUCUGGAGUUUUGCUUA